AACGAACGCUAUCGGUAUGCUUAACACAUGCAAGUCGGACGGACUAAUUAGGGCUUGCUCCAAUUAGUUAGUGGCAGACGGGUGAGUAACACGUGGGAAUCUGCCCAUCAGUACGGAAUAACUUUUAGAAAUAAAAGCUAAUACCGUAUAUUCUCUACAGAGGAAAGAUUUAUCGCUGAUGGAUGAGCCCGCGUCAGAUUAGGUAGUUGGUGAGGUAACGGCUCACCAAGCCGACGAUCUGUAGCUGGUCUGAGAGGAUGAUCAGCCACACUGGGACUGAGACACGGCCCAGAAUCCUACGGGAGGCAGCAGUGGGGAAUAUUGGACAAUGGGCGAAAGCCUGAUCCAGCAAUACCGAGUGAGUGAUAAAGGCCCUAGGGUUGUAAAGCUCUUUUAGCAAGGAAGAUAAUGACGUUACUUGCAGAAAAAGCCCCGGCUAACUCCGUG
rnacentral:rRNA from 1 species